CUUACCGAAACAAGCUCUAAACAUUUCAAACCCAGAUUUGAAUCUUGCAAAGAUCCAAACUCCCACACAACCAGGUUGCUGAAGGUUGAAAGUUGUUUCGGGUCUCUUCCUUUUUCACUCAAUUCUCCAGCAAAGUACAACCAACAUCCCAAGUGAAACCUAUACAUACCAGCUGCUAGCAUUUUUUAAUUUGAGAAUUUGAUCUUUGGAAUAGGGUGAUUCCAUACUAAUUUUUGGUUUAUUAAUGACUAUAUUUCC
rnacentral:lncRNA from 1 species